rnacentral:rRNA from 1 species
GAUGAACGCUAGCUACAGGCUUAACACAUGCAAGUCGAGGGGAAACGACAGAGAAAGCUUGCUUUUUCUAGGCGUCGACCGGCGCACGGGUGAGUAACGCGUAUCCAACCUGCCCAUCACUCGGGGAUAACCUUGCGAAAGUAAGACUAAUACCCAAUGAUAUCUCUAGAAGACAUCUGAAGGAGAUUAAAGAAUUAUCGGUGAUGGAUGGGGAUGCGUCUGAUUAGCUUGUUGGCGGGGUAACGGCCCACCAAGGCGACGAUCAGUAGGGGUUCUGAGAGGAAGGUCCCCCACAUUGGAACUGAGACACGGUCCAAACUCCUACGGGAGGCAGCAGUGAGGAAUAUUGGUCAAUGGACGAGAGUCUGAACCAGCCAAGUAGCGUGCAGGAUGACGGCCCUAUGGGUUGUAAACUGCUUUUAUAAGGGAAUAAAGUGAGUCUCGUGAGACUUUUUGCAUGUACCUUAUGAAUAAGGACCGGCUAAUUCCGUGCCAGCAGCCGCGGUAA